UACGUAGGGUGCGAGCGUUGUCCGGAUUUAUUGGGCGUAAAGAGCUCGUAGGCGGUUUGUCGCGUCGGCCGUGAAAUCUCCACGCUUAACGUGGAGCGUGCGGUCGAUACGGGCAGACUUGAGUUCGGUAGGGGAGACUGGAAUUCCUGGUGUAGCGGUGGAAUGCGCAGGAUAUCAGGAGGAACACCGGUGGCGAAGGCGGUUCUCUGGGCCUUACCUGACGCUGAGGAGCGAAAGCGUGGGGAGCGAACAGG
rnacentral:rRNA from 1 species